CUGGUACUGUAGCUGCUUAUUCCAGGUCAACUGGUAAUAACUGCAUAUUUCAGGAAUCUGGGGAUAAACUUUGAGGCUCUUCUGGCCAAUCCAAUCUCGAGGUCAUCUUUUCUUGGCUUCCAUCAAUUCAGCAAAAUUUAACAUCUAAUCAGAUCAGACAGCACAGAGAAUUUGUUAGUGCUCCCAUCCACCAUUAACAACCAGCCCUCACAACCAGAGCUACAUCAUUUCCUCUCUGGAUCCAAGCGAAAAUGCAUCAAUUAAUUCUAGGCACCGCAUAUACAAAUCUAACAUACUUGUUUUCCACACCUAGUGACUCUUAAGCUCCCAUAAGUCAAAAGAACUUGUCCUCCCCCACAAUGACUAUCACAGAUCCAUCCAUUAAUCUAAAGAUAGCUCUGCCUGCUUACAUUCCUCCUAGUUACUACAAGUGUGCUUGAUCGAGCUAGGUCUGGUCAAGCUUAAGCUUGAAAAUAGAGAUCAAACUUGAAUUGUUUGUAUUUGAUCAAUCCAAAAUCAAGCCUAAUAUCAAACAAAGCCGAACUCGAGCCUAUUUUGAGGGGCAUGAUAACAUUUAUUGAGUUGAAAUCAAUUAAAGCAUGUAUCAAGUUUCAAUUAAGUUUGGUUCUAGCGUGAUUCAAACUUGGUUCAGGCUGAAUUCAAGCUUGAAUCAAGCUCAGUUAAAGCUUGACUCAACCUCACUUCAAGCUCGGUUUAAGCUUCAUUCAAUGAUUGAUUACAGGGUCAGUUGUUGGAUUUGAACCAGUUCUUGCUAACGUAUAUAUCAUAACACAGAUGAUCAAGUUCUCAAGCCUUAUCGAGCCAGGUUAUUUUCAAUCUUGGCUUGAAAUUAAUUUUGAAACUAUGAAUCAGAUUCAAGCUUGGCUCAAUUAUAUUUAAAUUCAGCUUGACUCGAGCUUAUUCAAGAUAUGCUCAACCCAAGCUCAAGCUGCUCAAAUCAAUAAACAGGCCUACUAGUUGCAGACCUCCAACCCUAAUUUCAACACCUCUUGGCUUCUGCCUUUGUCACUGCUAAUGCUAACACUUUUUACCUAUCCUAGGGCACUUCAAUAGCUUCAUUCGUCACCUUUUUGCAAUGCAACCAAUUUAUGUUCCCUGGGGUGAUUCCUAUAAUGGGAUGCGCAGUGUAUCACAAUGGCAAUGGUGAAUCAUCCCAUAAUAACAAUGUACCACAAUAUUUUCACUUAAGAUUAAAAUCUAUUGCAGAUGGAUCCACUCAUAGUAGACGUUUAGAUGAAGGUUGACAACAACAGGAAAGCAGAGCUUCGCAUAACAACUCUUGUUUUCCCAGUUUGUCCUUACUCCUAUGUGUCUAUCUAAACACCAAAUCAAUCAUUUGUUCCACUUCACUUCCCAAUUAGGUAACCUUUAAGUGGUCAAAUGAUUCAAAUCUAUGUAUAUGUGAUUAUCUAAAGCUGAUCAUUAAGUAUUCCACCCAUCGCACAACAUCAGGAAAUCUGCAAAUUAAAUCAACACAACAAUCGUUUAGUUUCUUUCAAGUUUCAACAUCUUCUAAAGUUUUUUUCCUAUUAUUUUGUAAAGAAUAAAGGAGAGUGCAGCACCAACAACCACACUGCGAGGUUGUUAAAAGUUAAAACACCUAAGUGGUUCCACCAGGUGAUGGCCCAAUGAAAUGCCUAGGCAGGACAAUUAAGCAGCCAGGCAAGCAUUUGGAGUAACAAAAAAAAAAUCCCCGAAAAUUAAGAAAAAUUAUAUUAUGGCCUUGUAUAAUGAAAUAAUCAGAAAAUAUAUAUCUGAUUCAAUGAAUUUACCUGAAUAAAACAACAUAGACAUUAGAUAUACACAAAGUACUAGAUCAUAAAUAUUUAUGAAGAAACAUGAAGAAUUCCAAGUGAUAAAAUACCAUAAACAGGUGCCUACCUCGUAGAAAAGCAGUCAAAAGGUGGCUAGGCUCCUAUCUAGGUGCUGAAAUUAGGCACUUGGAUGGCUGCCUUGCCUGGUAUCUGGGAAAGCACCAAGAGCCUAAGCAGGACUCUCUAGGUGCUUAGGUGGCCACCUAUGACAACAGUGCCAUGAAGGAAUGGUUUACAACAUACAUGUGCCAAACAAUUGGGGAAACAUCACAAAUGGAAAACAUCCUCCAGUGCAACCAUUGAGCCAUAGCCACACCUUCUUAAAGUUUUUUUUUUUUUUUUUUUUUUUUUUGUAGAGAGAGAGAGAGAGAGAAUUUUGAGAUAUGGUAGUUACUAGUUACUCACCCCCACUCAAGUUUGAAUUUGAGACCUCUCACUUGGGGAGGAAGGUACCAGCUUGCUGGGCUCAGAACUUCAAAAGUUAGCAUGCCACAUUUAUAGCAUAAGCACCCCAAGAUACAGUGAUUCAAACCGUAUCAUAACAAGAAUUACCACAUUAGAAAACAAACACAUGGAACCCAUUCUAAAAGACAAUCACUAAAAUAUUUUCCAUUUUUGUAUACGAAAGUUGUUUUCUAUACCAAAAAAUAUAUUUGGCCUCAAGAACUCACAUAAUGAUGAGUCUAGCCAGCCAACCUUAUUCAUUUUCAUUUCACUUAUCAUGCUCUUUGGAUAUGUUACAAGAAGCUUAGUAAUGAUGGAUUCAUCCAAAUGCAAGCAGGGGAUGAAGUUCAAAAGAUAUUUGUAUUCAUUGUAUCUCAAAUAAAAGAUGCCCAAAAACACCUUAAUAAGGGUUCUGUUCUUGCCCCCUUCAAAACAGGUUAACAAGCAAGAAACACUCUUUGGUUCUCUUGUUUUGCCGCUAAGCAUUGGCCCAAUGGUUGAUGGCAUCCAUAGCCAUACAAUCUAAACCUUGUUGAUAACAAGAUGUAUAAAAUUAAAAUGUUAUGGUAGCCUGACAUCAUAUUGCUUAAAGAGCAAAAUGAAACAUUGAAUAAAAAUCUAGAUACCACCAUUUUUUUCCAAUCAUGCAACAGGAAAAAGGCACUCAGAACUCAGAAGAAAAGUAAUCCUAGAGUAUUAAAGAGAAACAUUACCUCCCAGCUCAGAUGUCUAUCAAUCUUCAACAAGGGUUGGAUAAUUUGGUUUUGGACAGGUCAAUAAGGGUCAGUUUGUGCUGGAUUCAGUAUGUGCAUACAAACUUACAUAUACAUAUAUAGAGAUAGAGAUAGAGAGAGGCAUGUCAUGCAUGCAAACAAAAAUACGAUGAACCACUACACUAUGGCAGUUCUUGGAUGACAUAUAGGUUGAUCUUGUUUUUGAUACAACAAGGAUAAGUUUAUUGCCUCGAUGAUUGUUAUACAGAAAUAUCAAGCAAAAUAUAAUUUGAUACAGUACAUAAACUUAAGCAUAAGUUGUACCUUUUUGGCUUUCGCUGAGCCAGCAUAAUCCGCAGCUUUGCCAAUCACAUUCGCAAUUUUAUUAGAUGAAUCCUUCCCAGGUGGAUUGUGUUCAACAGGUUUAUGGAAAGGACUUGUAGUAACUUUCCCAGGCAUUUUCUUCAAUAUUUUCCUUUUAUGCCUUUUGAAGUGUGCCAGUUGUAAAGAAGUAUCUUCCCGCCUCUCCUGAUGACAAAAUCAUUGCAGAAUGAGCUGAUACUUUUCUUCCCUUGUGAAAACUAGGAGACAAAAGGAGUUUGUUAUUACCCAAUGAUGUGGCAUGACUCCAAGAAUUGAUUCUCUAAAUUCUCUACAUUCAAGCUGCAAAUCAACAUAAACACAUUAAGCUUCUUUUGUACAUAUUUGAGCUACUAGCAGCCAGGUGGGCGACCAAAUUUCUUUUUUUUUACAGCUAUGUAAACUACCUACUUAUUCACUGGAGACAGGAUUAAAUUCAUAACCAAAUGCAUAAAGGAGUAAAAUAACAAAUAUAAACUUCAGCCAUCAAAGUGAAGCAUGAAAGUUAUCUAAAAUCAUUUGCCAUCUUUACAUCUUAACUCACGCUCAGUAUAUGAUAUUUUAGAGUAAAAUGUGAUUUUGCAGAUUCAUACACUUCCAUGGGUCCAGCAACUGCACGUCUGUGUGCUCACAAGAAUGUGCAUGUCAUUCAAGUGCAGCACACAUACCAACUCAUACAAGGAUACAGGCCAAAAUAAAUCUUGCUUUAUCAACUAAAUGCUAACAUGAUACAGAUAAAUUUACUAUGUGUUCAAAACAAACUGCUACCUUUUUUUUGGUAACAAAACAAACCGCUACUUGCUAGAUGAUUUUCCAACAUGCAAAAUCAUACCUCUCCAGGAUGACGAGCAUUCAUAGCAUGAACAUCAAGCUUGUAAUUAUGUUGUGGAAUCAAUUGUGUUGCAUCCAAGGGUUGCAACUGGAUAUUCUACAAUGAUAAACAGUAUAAAAUUAGUAGAGACUCAAACAUAGUGAAAUUUGUUUAUUAAAAAAAAGACUAAAAAACAUCAUAUGAAAUGUUGCAAAUAAAGAGCGCUUUGCUACUUCUAAGACAUCAGUAAUCAGCAAAAAAAAAAAAAAAGAAACUAGGAUGCAUGAAGAAGCAAUGCAUCAAUACUAGGAAUAUUAUCUCCAAGUUAAGCACAUCAAUAAUUUAAUAACUUGGAUAUGGAUUGAGCCAUGCUACCUUAUCAAUUGUUAACAUGCUCGAUAAAACCUACAUGAUACGAUAACUAAAGAAAAUGCAUGGAUGAAAAAGAACAAACACUUUUUAUUGGUUUCAGCAAGUUAACAUAAUUAAUGACUUUUGCGAUGACUUGUGUUAUAUUCUGGAGGUAAAAAAGGAGUGGAUAUUAAUAGAAAAUGAGCUUACUUCAUUUUUUCUAUGCCACCGUGGUAUGCCAGACCGACCAGCAAAAGCAUAAAAUACAAAAUGGCGUAGGUCUACAGUACCAGAUCCAGGGGUCUGAAUAAAAAAUAAGAUUCAGUACAAAGAAAGUUAGAUCCGCAUUAUAAUUUUUUUUCAUAUAGAAAAUAAUGUAAGAAAAUGCCAUAAAUAAUACUAUUGAUUGCAAUAAGAAAGAAUUUAUAAACAAAUUGACAUUAUCCAAAAUUGACACUAACAUUCAUGAGAAGGAAAGUCAGCCUGCUUCAUCUUUGUUAGAAGAUUAACAUGACCAUAAAAUUAAUUAUAUAAAAAAAUGAUAAAAAGGGUAUUAAGAAAUUGGUGACAACUAAACAAAAAAUUAUGCAAUUAAAUAGAUCCACUGGACAUGAAAAUAAUAUAUAUUCCACAUCCAUUACCUACAUUAUCUCCAAUCAUGUUUGCAAAUCAUUUUUAAGGCCUGUUGACAUCAUCAUUCAGAAUUUUCCACAACGUACUAUUGCAUGACAGUAAAUUCUAUUAUGCAAGAAGAAAAUAACAUAAUAAUGUUGUAAAAAUCUCAUUGCCGAAAAGAGAAAUAAGAUGCAUACCUCUUUUUCAUUAGCACUUCUUCGGUGCAUCUCACCAUCUUUAUCCAACAUCAUGGUUUCCUCAAACAGAUCAAUAGAGUUCUAUGAAAUAUGACAAGUUAAAAAACUACCCUUCAGAAAUAAAAUAAUUGUGAAAGGACAAAGUUAAAUAGAAGGCAACAAAAUGAACACGAAACAAAUUAUGAAAUAAAGACAGUUCUUUGUAUUACAAGAAUGAAAAAAAUAGUAGAAUGUCUAAAUCAGAAUAAAAGGUUCAUCAGCACUCUAGCACAUAUUUUAUUUAGUCCGGUAAGUAGAUCUGACAAUGAACAUACAAAAGGGUAUCGAAAUAAGAAAUUGCAACUUCCUAGAUUUAUUAGAAGCAAAGAAUGAAUGAUGAUACCUGAAAAUGGAAACAAAAAAUUCGUCAUUGAAGCCUAUUUACCACUCCAUUGUAACAAAUCCAAUAGAUCCAAACUAAUGAGGCAUUGUUUUUUGUGUUUCAGCUAUCAAAUUAAUUAUGUAAUGUUUCUUUACACAUUUUGGUGAAAGUGGAACUUCCCAUAGCAUUAUGAAUAAUAUCUUGUGCCUUUGGUAGUAAUAUUAGAUACAGUACAUGAAGCAUUUGAAAUAUUCACAGGCCCAUAGCUUAUACUUGCAUUCUCAUAUACCAAAACAUUGAACAAAAAAAUAUUUAGAUUUAUUUGAUUUGAUUUUCAAAGAAAUGUUUUCCUCAAUUGAAUGGUCUUGCCAGUAUCAUUUUACGAAUUUGUGGCUUUCCCAAAUUUCAUACCAUAUGGCACUUGUUGCCAUUUAAGAAAUUAGACCCACAACUAAAUGAUAAUGAUCUUCAAACAAAUACUGCCAAGUUCCACUUGCAGCAAAUAGAGACACAAGUUUCAGUGAAAGUUAGAAACCAUACUUAAUUAGCUCCAAAAUUCUCAACAAGCAUACAAGACAGUUUCAAGUUCCCAUUUGUACCUAAAAUUAAAACAAAUAGAUCAUAAUUGCCA
rnacentral:lncRNA from 1 species